UUUGUGAAAGGAAGAGGCGAAAGCAACCGCCGCUGUGUUCUUUCGUCUCUGCUUUCUGGUCUUCCCCUCAGCUAAUAUUACCUGAUAAGACGGAGGGAAAUGGAGUAGCUUUUGCUGCUCCCGAGAUCUUCUGGUGGUCAUGUACGACAACGUCUAAAGACGAACUCAUCUCCAUGUUUCGCUGCCUCUUGUCUCGGAUUCAAGCAACAGUCUGCAGCCCCAAGUCCAUCCACCGGCACUCAUGGGCGAUAGAAGCUUCAUAUGCAUGUGCUCUCUCUCUCU
rnacentral:lncRNA from 1 species